rnacentral:rRNA from 1 species
ACUAAUUGCCCGAGAGGCUUAACCAUACAACGCUCAAGUAUUUUUGUUUUCGGUUUGUUUUUUUAUUGUGAAGGCGAGGCGCUGGAUUUUGUGAGUAGAAUCUGAUGAGGGGCAUCGCGAAUAAAAGAAUAGUAUAAAGUAUAAAAAGUGUAAAAGGAUUAUCCUGGCGGCGAUAGUGCGGUGGUCCCACCUGACCCCAUGCCGAACUCAGAAGUGAAACGCCGUAACGCCGAUGGUAGUGUGGGGCUUCCCCAUGUGAGAGUAGGUCACCGCCAGGU